AUGGCUGCUCCUUCCGGUCCCGGUCCCGGUCAGGAACCGCCGGCGGGGAGGCAGUUGAGCUACCACCUCGCCGCUGCUGUGAGGAGCAUCAACUGGACGUAUGCCAUUUUCUGGUCCAUCUCCACCGGCCCAGCGGGAGUUCUGGCGUGGAAGGAAGGAUUCUACAAUGGCGAGAUAAAGACGAGAAAGAUGACCAGCUCAACCACGACGACGGAGCCGAGAAGCCAGCAACUGAGGGAGCUCUACGAGUCGCUCUUGUCCGGCGGCAACUCCGACCGCCGGGCAAGGCUCUCGCCGGAGGAUCUCGGCGACGCUGAGUGGUACUACACCAUAAGCAUGAGUUACACCUUCCGGCCUGGCCAAGGGUUGCCAGGCAAAAGCUUUGCGAGCAAUCAACACGUUUGGGUGUACAAUGCUCAAUCCGCAGAUACCAAAACUUUCGAGCGCGCGCUCUUAGCAAAGACCGUGCCUAUUAAGGUCAGCACACUACUUCCAUCACGCUUCCAUCAUUGCAUAUGCAUUGAUCUAUCACGUACAUGUGUUCCCUUCACAUCUCUCAUCUCAAGUUGGCUCGCAUUUUUCCAGACAGUCGUUUGCAUUCCCUUUAUGGGUGGUGUGCUCGAGCUCGGGACGUCGGAUCCGGUUUUGGAGGACUCGAACAUGGUGCAUCAGAUCGGCACAUCUUUCUGGGAGCUUCACUUACCAUCGUUCCCGGCAUGCUCGAAAUCAGAGGAGCCAUGCUCCAACCCAUCAUUAGCAAACGAAACCAGCGAGGCUGGCAUCAUGUUGGAAGACCUCGAUCACAACGCCAUUGAGGGGAUGAUCUCUGAGCUAAGGGAGGUCGAGUGCCUCUCUGACGUCAACCUUGAGUGCGUCACAAAGGAGAUGGAUGAGUUCCAAUUCCUCCUCGAGGGGCUGGACAGUUGUGCUCUCGAGGACAACUGGGUCAUGGACAGGUCCUUUGAGUUCAUUUCUUCCCCGCAAACGGUGUCGUCUAUGGACUACCCAUGCACGGAAGAUGUGAUCGUCACUUUAAGUAGCUCCGUUCAAGGUACUCGACCAUCCUGUUUUAUAGCCUGGAGGAGGUCACUGGAGUUGAAAGAUAUGGUUGUGCGGGUCACCGACACCGAGGAGUCACAGAAGUUGCUAAAGAAAAUUGUGGCUGGCGGUGCAUGGACGAACAAUGGUGAUGGUGGCAGUAUGGCAAGAGAUCGGGAAAGUAACAUCAAGAACCAUGUCAUAUCAGAGAGAAGGCGUCGCGAGAGGCUCAACGAGAUGUUCAUGGUUCUCAAGUCACUCGUCCCAUCCAUUCACAAGGUGGACAAAGCAUCAAUCCUCCUACAAACGAUAGCUUAUCUCAAGGAGCUGGAGCAAAGGGUAAAAGAGCUAGAAUCCAACAGAGCAACAAUAGAAUGGAGGCUCCAUGAUGUCGUAGGCGGGAAGAAGAAUGUCUCAGUUGGAUCCAAGAGGAAGGCAUUGGAAAGGGAGCAUAAUGAUGGCCAGAGCAACAUCGUCAAUGUGACCGAGAUGUAG
rnacentral:rRNA from 1 species